rnacentral:misc_RNA from 1 species
AAAGUUCCAAAAAAAAUCAUGCCAUGGAGCAACUUGAAACAAAAAUAUGGCGUUAAUUUCAAUUACAAUCAAGGAAAAGAGAAUUGCAAGACUAUAACUAAAGAAUAUAUUAUUUGCAAGUGGCAGAAAGACCAAAGGCAGAAUUUAUGGAGUGGAAGAAGAAAAAUUGAGCAACUUAACAAAUUAGCUUAUCCAAAACUGUUGACCCUAAAUAAAAUCAACCCACUGCAUCAAAAUCACAAGUCUGAUGUUUCCGAGAGUUGAAACUAAUACAUCAAAUGGGUGCCCCCUUCAGUGGAACUGGCCAUUUUCAAAUAGGCAUUUUGUCUUUAUCUGUCAUCUUGUUAAAACAAAACUUCAGAGAAUGUCAAAGUUGGUUGUCUCACAUUAGUCUGUAAAGGUACUGUUAAGGGUUUCUAUUAGGCAUGGACCUCUUUGCCUACAAAUUAAACCUUUGGUUAAAUUCUCUAUUGUAGUAUCAUAAGCCUGAAUUGGUUUGUGAGAGCUCCAAAUAUAUACUUGGUUGCUGGUUUACAACCUAUCCGGGUAAUUAUCAUACGCGAUCAUUCAACUUUUACAAGUAUUUUCAUAAAAGUCACUGAAUUUU